AGUGAUAAAUUUUCUUGUUCGAUUUUGUUAACCUAGAUCUCACAUUUUUCUGUCAAAAACAAAACCGACGGCAUGUUUGGUUCAAUAUUUGUUACCAGAAGCUGAAGAAGAUAAAACCUUCGUCUUGUUGUUGUUGAUUCACUAGCAUAAUGAUAUCUCCUCUCAAAACUCAAAUCUGGAUUUGAUCAUCCAGUGGGGAUCUUCGUUGAGUUAUUCAAUCUACAAGACUUGAGGAGAUUUCAACUUGAUCCUUGUACAGCUCUGCCCUCGAGGAGAAUUUAUCUCGGAUCUUGUGGAUUUUGGGCAAAAAAAAAAUCUUCAGUUUAGACAUAAGGAACUCAGAUGUUGGAUUAAUUGGAGGGGACGGGAUGAUUUGGGAGCGGUGACCUUCCUUGCCAGUGACGAUAGGGAUCCACAUGACCUAGUAAAGAUCAUAAAGAUUUGAAGCAAAAAACAUGAGAAUGAAGUUGCUACAUCUGAUCCGGGCAAUUAACAAAUCAGGGCAAAUAGUCACAAGGAUUUGCUAAGAAACUUUAAGGCACGAUGUUGUUACACUGAAGAAACUUUCGGACGGCAGCACCAGGGAGUGAGAACAAACCAUGGAGCAUGUUGAUAGAUUGAUGUGAAACCCUAAGCAAUGGCUGAAACCUCUGCUGCGACUUUUCAGACCUUAAAGGGGCUAAGAAUUUAACUGAGAAAGGGAAAUCGAGACAAAAUUUGGUCGUUUUUAAACUGGGUAAGGAGUUACAGAGAGACAGUGAAUGGAAUUGGAGUCUAAAUGUUAACUUAUCUAAUUUGUGGAUUUUGUAAGCAACUUAAAUAUGGAAGAAGGAUCCCUGCAGUUUGUAUUACUAUGCAAUCUUGUCCUAUUCUCAACAGAUUAGAGAGGCAUGAGUGGAAACCUUUGAUUCCUCUAUUUGAAGAUAUCAAGGGGAUAUGAGAUUAUGGAAGUAAUCCGUUGAAGGAGUCAAUAAUGUAGAAUUUCGUAUCUAAAGAAGACCAGCGUCUACGAGAUCCAGAUAAUAUGUAUUAAAGAAGAACUAGAUAUUAAGAUGGUUGCUGCAACCUCAUCAUUCAUCUCUUGCAUUUACAGGUCUUUCUCUUUCAGGGGACAUCUUUGUGAGUUCAAUUAUAAUGUUUGUUAUCAGAUUCCAGUCACUUAGUAUAUUCAGAUUUUAUUGCUGUGUCUUAGUACAUCUAGUAUCGGAAUGAAAUGAAUAGUGGGUACUACUGAAAAAAUCUGCAAUUGAAAGCUUGCAGUACAUGUGUUCAUUACCCCAUUUUAUAUUUUAGUUUGUUCUUUAACG